GGUCAGAAUUGGUCUUUUUGGCCACACUAAAUUAACAGGACAAUGCUCAACCACGGCAAGAGGACUGGGAGAAUGGGCUCAUUCUGCUCUGAAGUUUCCAGCACAGCUGUGUGGGGCAGAGGGAGCAGGAGGGAGUGGCAGUGGCGUCCCCUGCCAUGGCAGCUACCCAGGCCAAGUCCUGCCAGGAGCCAGCGAGAGGAGCACACAAGAGCAUGGGCACAGGUGUGCCAGGAGCAGGGCAAGGGGCUGCAUGCCUGCUGAGGAGGAGCCUCUCUCCAUCCAUGCCCUCUCAAUACAGAGGAUUUAAAGGGUGGAGGGUGUGUAAAGGAUCCCGCUCGCACCUACACCUGGGCUGCAAGAGGAGUGCAGGGGCAUCCCAGAGGCAGGGAAAGGCCCCCAGGGCGUGGAGCUGAUGAACAAGCCUUUUCCACAGGAGGUGACAAGGGACACUGCCCACAGCAAGAGGCUGUAUGGAAGGGUUGGGGGGCCUAGGAUUGCAUCACAGCCCCAGGGCUGUCCCUGUCCCUGUCCCUGUCCCUGUCCCUGUCCCUGUCCCUGUCCCACCGGCAGAGGCAAUGGGAGAGGCUCAGGAAAGGCUGGAGCAGCAAACCACCUCCCCAGGCAGCAGGGGCCACAGCAUAUCCUCCAUCCUGCUGCUUGGGAUCAGCAGGUCCAGCUCAGAGCAGACAGCGCAGCCCAGCAUGCUGUGGUGAGUUCUUGUCACCAUUAUUAUUUAGAGAAAAAUGCAUAAACACGCAUGCACACACUUCAUUACGAGGUAUCAUUUAUUCUCAGACAAGUUUUCUUCCUCAU
rnacentral:lncRNA from 12 species